CAGAUGGUGGUCAACUUUCUGCCUUUUAUUUUGAUAAUACGUGCGAGUAUCUCUGUGUGUGCAUGUAAAUAAUUACGUGAUGCAUCCCUGUGUGUACGUAUAUGUGUCUGUGUGCGCGCAUAAACAUGCAUCCGUGUGUGCGAGAGACAGAGGAAAAAUAACCCACCCUGCUGAUGCACACUCAGAUGAUUUGCUCCAUUUGCCCACUCCGAAUGCCCUUUAAAGACACGAUGCAUCUUCUCCUUGCUCCUUACCGAUCCCUGCGACUGUCAUCUUGUUUUAAUGACAACUUAGCUGGGGUGGGGGUGAGGAGGGAGCAAGUUUCAAGUUUUGGGAUCUCUCCUCUUGUUGGCGUUGUGGCGAGUUACAAUAUUGUAAAAUCAUGGUGUGCUGAUGAUGUGCCUUUAUUUGAUACUUUAUAGGUCACUAUCACAUGACAAAGGCUUUGGGACAGCUUCAUCUUCGUCUGUCUGUCAUUUCCAUUUGCUUUCCUGGGCAUCAACUAACUACAUUUUACAAACAUUUCAGAACCAGUGCUACCUGCCCCCGUUUUGCAGAUGGCAGAGUAGACCCAGGGAUGUUCAGGAGGUUCCCCCAGUUGCAAGAGCAGGAGUAGGACGUGCCCUUUCAAACCGGCUCACGCGUGAAAGCGGGCUCAGCGUGGCACCCACGGCAGCCCUUGCCCAGGCCAGGCGAAGCCGGGCUGUAGGCAGGAUGGUAGACUGCUGCACCGAAAACAUUUCUGUGCCAGCUCCGUGACUGGGGAAGGCUAAAGAGGUGAGUGCUGGUUUUACGUCCUGUAGGUUCAGGGAGUGGAUGAAGGAGGAACCAAGUGUCACAACCUACCCAGGCUC
rnacentral:lncRNA from 1 species